GAUGAACGCUGGCGGCGUGCCUAAUACAUGCAAGUCGAGCGAACGGACGAGAAGCUUGCUUCUCUGAUGUUAGCGGCGGACGGGUGAGUAACACGUGGAUAACCUACCUAUAAGACUGGGAUAACUUCGGGAAACCGGAGCUAAUACCGGAUAAUAUUUUGAACCGCAUGGUUCAAAAGUGAAAGACGGUCUUGCUGUCACUUAUAGAUGGAUCCGCGCUGCAUUAGCUAGUUGGUAAGGUAACGGCUUACCAAGGCAACGAUGCAUAGCCGACCUGAGAGGGUGAUCGCCCACACUGGAACUGAGACACGGUCCAGACUCCUGCGGGAGGCAGCAGUAGGGAAUCUUCCGCAAUGGGCGAAAGCCUGACGGAGCAACGCCGCGUGAGUGAUGAAGGUCUUCGGAUCGUAAAGCUCUGUUAUUAGGGAAGAACAUAUGUGUAAGUAACUGUGCACAUCUUGACGGUACCUAAUCAGAAAGCCACGGCUAACUACGUG
rnacentral:rRNA from 1 species